rnacentral:rRNA from 1 species
CCUACGGGGGGCAGCAGUGAGGAAUAUUGGUCAAUGGGCGCGAGCCUGAACCAGCCAAGUCGCGUGAGGGAAGACGGUCCUAUGGAUUGUAAACCUCUUUUGUCGGGGAGCAAAAGACGCCACGCAUGGCGUUCCGAGAGUACCCGAAGAAAAAGCAUCGGCUAACUCCGUGCCAGCAGCCGCGGUAAUACGGAGGAUGCGAGCGUUAUCCGGAUUUAUUGGGUUUAAAGGGUGCGCAGGCGGAAGAUCAAGGCAGCGGUAAAAUUGAGAGGCUCAACAGCUGCGAGCGGUUGAAAAUGGUUGUC